AGAGUUUGAUCAUGGCUCAGAGCGAACGCUGGCGGCAGGCCUAACACAUGCAAGUCGAGCGCCCCGCAAGGGGAGCGGCAGACGGGAGAGUAACACGUGGGAACGUACCCUUCAGUUCGGAACAACCCAGGGAAACUUGGGCUAAUACCGAAUACGUCCGUAAGGAGAAAGAUUUAUCGCUGAAGGAUCGGCCCGCGUCUGAUUAGCUAGUUGGUGAGGUAACGGCUCACCAAGGCGACGAUCAGUAGCUGGUCUGAGAGGAUGAUCAGCCUCACUGGGACUGAGACACGGCCCAGACUCCUACGGGAGGCAGCAGUGGGGAAUAUUGGACAAUGGGCGCAAGCCUGAUCCAGCCAUGCCGCGUGGGUGAUGAAGGCCCUAGGGUUGUAAAGCCCUUUCGGCGGGGAAGAUAAUGACGGUACCCGCAGAAGAAGCCCCGGCUAACUUCGUGCCAGCAGCCGCGGUAAUACGAAGGGGGCUAGCGUUGCUCGGAAUCACUGGGCGUAAAGCGCACGUAGGCGGCUUUUUAAGUCAGGGGUGAAAUCCUGGAGCUCAACUCCAGAACUGCCCUUGAUACUGAGAAGCUUGAGUCCGGGAGAGGUGAGUGGAACUGCGAGUGUAGAGGUGAAAUUCGUAGAUAUUCGCAAGAACACCAGUGGCGAAGGCGGCUCACUGGCCCGGUACUGACGCUGAGGCGCGAAAGCGUGGGGAGCAAACAGGAUUAGAUACCCCGGUAGUCC
rnacentral:rRNA from 1 species